UACGGAGGGAGCUAGCGUUGUUCGGAAUUACUGGGCGUAAAGCGUGCGUAGGCGGUUGGCAAAGUCAGCUGUGAAAGCCCCGGGCUUAACCUGGGAAUGGCGGUUGAAACUAGUCGACUAGAAUCUGGCAGAGGGGGGUGGAAUUCCACGUGUAGCAGUGAAAUGCGUAGAGAUGUGGAGGAACACCGAUGGCGAAGGCAGCCCCCUGGGCUAACACUGACGCUCAGGCACGAAAGCGUGGGGAGCAAACAGG
rnacentral:rRNA from 1 species